UGGAAACUUGAAUUCCAGUCUUGCUGAAGAACCUUGAUAGGACCUGCUGUUCAGCGAGUCAGAGACAGUGUUUCUGAACUGCAGACAGUUCAGCUUUAAAGGUGAUUUGAGAACUGAAAGGGGUGGUCACUAGAGAAGCAGUUUUGCUUGGUCACUGGUUGAGUGCGUGAUCUUCCUCACAUGCAAGUGGAAACAGGACAAAGCUGCUUUUCACAGCAUGAAGAAGCUGCAGGCCUUCCCUGCUGUUGUCUGAAUCUGCAGCAUUCUCAGUAAGAUUUGUUUUGUUCUGCAGAAGGAAUAAUAAGGUUCUGUCGAUUAUUUUGCUUCUCUAUCUUACCAGUAAUGCUCCAGCUCUGUAUUUGUGAAAAUGAUUUGGGGAAUCACCUGUUCAAGUGGUACAAAUGUAUCCAGCAGUUUUUCAACAUGAAAUUGCCAGUGUUCCCGAGUCCUGUCAGUAACUGCUGCAACAGGCAAUGAAAUGUUUGUAAAUCUAAUUUCUCUCACUUCCUCUCCUAGUAAGAUAAAAAUCAAUUACUUCCAUUAUUGCUGAAAAGAUAGAAUCCUGCAAGGUGGUGUUAGUUUAAAAAAUAAAUUCCUGAAGAUCUAGCACUUUCUGCUAGCUUUAUUACCCAGGUGUCACUUCCAUUUAAUCAUAGACUUAGUAUUGCAGAACUGUCCAAAAUGUUGCAAUUAUCAGAUAUAGGAAGUUUCAAAAGUGAGUCCUGCUAACAUCAUGGUAAGUUUGUGUCUGUUCGCUUGAACCAGUCCAAGUGCUUAUGGAAACAUUUCAAUGGCAGCAUCUUUGCGAUUUUGUCAGCAGCUGCCAGCCCCGGGCAAAGUUUAAUUAGCAUGUUUUUCAAAUUGUUAGCUAAAUUAGUCAAGUAUUAAAUAGUCUUCCCCAAAUUAUAUCUGCAAAUUUAAACCUUGCAUCUGUCUCAAUGUGUGGACACACUGCUAUCCUGGUAAUGCUAUUUACUGAAUUGUUUAUCUUCUAGCAAAUUCAUGGUACGUAAUCUGAAUGAUAUCUGGGUUCCCUUUAUAAAUUCAUUUGUAAAGCACCUGCUUUGGUACUGGCAUUUGUAAUAUUACAGUUUUCAAGUCAACAGCAGUAGUCACAGCACUUUUCCUGAGAGAGAACUUGAUCUCAUAUGUAUUUCAUAAGUAUAAAUAAUAUAUUUUCAUUAUCCUGAAUUUAUGCAGCUGGAGUAAAGAUGCCUGCUCUGGGCCUCUAAGAACUGUAAUCCUGAUUAGAACCUAAUGCUGAGUCAAGCCAUGAAAAAGUAAUUUUUGUCCUCAUCUUUGGAGUUCUUUGGGAUUUAAUAUUUCACUCUUCUUGCAUAAAAAUAAACCUGUAGGAACUUAACAUUGUAAAAUAGUAAUUGUAUGUUAUGUAACAGUGUUGCUGAUAAACAUCACCUGAGAGUUUUUUUCUUGGCUAAGGAGCCUAUAUGUAGUUUCUUUACACUUUUACUCACACCAGGCACAAGCAGAGCAAGCUUGUAACUGCUCAAUCCCAACUCACCUAUGACCCACUGCUGCAGAGCAGAAUGAGUUAAACAACAUGAACAGUACACUUGAAGUGCUGAAGAUUGUAUAGCAAGAGCUGUGAGAAAGAACUGCAGAAACUGAGAAAGAUAACAUAAAGAAGGAACUGUGUCCCCCUCCCAAAGAACAGAACAGCCUGCUGUGGUAGCUCAGUUGGAGGAAGUGUGGAUCCUGUUUUACCUUGGGUGCAAGAUAAGGGUGCCUGGUGGCAGGUAAUUCCAGGUCUUCUGUGUUGCUGCUGCGGGAUCUAAAUGGUGCAGCGAGUCCUUCCUCUCGCUAGAUGGCACCGCGGCCCUCCGAACAGAGUCCUCCACGGGCCGCGUUUUUGGGCGAAGUUUCCAAAGAGUUCCGUUCGUUCUGUUUAUGCAGAUGAAUUGUGCUUUGUUUUGGUCCUGCAGAUGGGCAGGUUAAACAGAUUCCUGUUGAUUCAGUGUUAAUUCCUGAGCUUAUCUGGACUGCUCAUUUUUGCUCCAGGCUUGCUGUUUUUUCCUAUCCACACACUGAACAAUAUUGCAGAGAUUGUGCAAACCCAGUUCUAAGAUGGCAUGGUGGAAAGGGUGGUUCAAGAACUGAAAUAAAAGUAAUGUAGUCUCAA